rnacentral:RNase_P_RNA from 1 species
UCAGUCGGCUGGACGGCCGCUCCCGCUAUGGUCGAAAGGCUGCGGGAGAGGAAAGUCCGGGCUCCAUCGACAUACGGUGCCGGAUAACGUCCGGCGGGGGUGACCCCAGGGAAAGUGCCACAGAGAACGAACCGCCCUCCUACGUCCCUUCGGGACUUCGGCGCGACAGGCCUUCGGGCUCGCCACGCCGUAGCAGCGCAAGCUGCGAAGGCGGGUAAGGGUGAAAAGGUGCGGUAAGAGCGCACCGCGUAUCCGGCAACGGAAACGGCAUGGCAAACCACACCGGGAGCAAAACCGAAUAGGGACGGCAAAGCAGUCAGUUCGCUCACCUUGAGCGAUAACACUGCGGGGCAAUGUCUUGCUCGCUGUCCGGGUAGGUUGCUUGAGGCCAUAGGCAACUAUGGUCCCAGAGGAAUGGCCGUCACGUAUCGCCGGUGCAAAUCGGCGAUGCCCUACAGAACCCGGCUUACAGGCCGGCUGAUAAC